GAUCCUGGCUCAGGAUGAACGCUGACAGAAUGCUUAACACAUGCAAGUCUUUGGCAAAGCUGUGCUUGCACAGUCUAGCCAAGGCGGACGGGUGAGUAACGCGUAAGGAACUUGCCCUGCAGUCAGGGAUAACAGACGGAAACGACUGAUAGAACCUGAUAAAGUCAGACGGACUCAUGUCCAGUCUGAUGAAAAGAAAUGCUGCAGGAGAGCCUUGCCG
rnacentral:rRNA from 1 species